rnacentral:rRNA from 1 species
UACGAAGGGGGCUAGCGUUGCUCGGAAUCACUGGGCGUAAAGCGCACGUAGGCGGAUUGCUAAGUCAGGGGUGAAAUCCUGGAGCUCAACUCCAGAACUGCCUUUGAUACUGGCGACCUUGAGUCCGGGAGAGGUGAGUGGAACUGCGAGUGUAGAGGUGGAAUUCGUAGAUAUUCGCAAGAACACCAGUGGCGAAGGCGGCUCACUGGCCCGGUACUGACGCUGAGGUGCGAAAGCGUGGGGAGCAAACAGG